rnacentral:rRNA from 1 species
UACGAAGGGUGCAAGCGUUACUCGGAAUUACUGGGCGUAAAGCGUGCGUAGGUGGUGAGUUAAGUCUGUCGUGAAAGCCCCGGGCUCAACCUGGGAAUGGCGAUGGAUACUGGCUCGCUAGAGUGCGGUAGAGGAGAGUGGAAUUCCCGGUGUAGCAGUGAAAUGCGUAGAGAUCGGGAAGAACAUCGGUGGCGAAGGCGCUCUACUGGACCACAACUGACACUCAGGGACGAAAGCUAGGGGAGCGAAUGGG